rnacentral:rRNA from 1 species
GUAGGUCCCGAGCGUUGUCCGGAUUUAUUGGGCGUAAAGCGAGCGCAGGCGGUUAGAUAAGUCUGAAGUUAAAGGCUGUGGCUUAACCAUAGUACGCUUUGGAAACUGUUUAACUUGAGUGCAAGAGGGGAGAGUGGAAUUCCAUGUGUAGCGGUGAAAUGCGCAGAUAUAUGGAGGAACACCGGUGGCGAAAGCGGCUCUCUGGCUUGUAACUGACGCUGAGGCUCGAAAGCGUGGGGAGCAAACAGGAUUAGAUACCCUGGUAGUCCACGCCGUAAACGAUGAGUGCUAGGUGUUAGACCCCUUUCCGGGGUUUAGUGCCGCAGCUAACGCAUUAAGCACUCCGCCUGGGGAGUACGACCGCAAGGUUG